rnacentral:lncRNA from 1 species
CUGUUUUUCCAGGAGGCAAAGCUGGCUUCAAUUGGCCCCAGUCUUCAGGGCAGUUGGGCAGCUCCUGAGCAGGGGGCUGCACUCUGGCUCCCAGAAUCCUUCUGGGUGGAGCAGCAAGGAUGCCCUCUGCUUUGGAGGUACUGAGCCAGGUUCCCCUCACCUCGCACCCUUGGAAAAUCAUUUCUGAACUCCCAGGACCCAAUUUUGGAAGUGCUCCUCAAACUCUAAUGCAAAAAGGAAUCACCAGCCCAUACUUUGAAAAGAGAUUCUGAAUCAGUAGGUGGAACCUCAGAGUGCAGUUCUAACCAGCCCUCGGGUGAAGCCCAUAGAAAGGGACUACAGCAGGAAGUACUGGCAGACUAAAAACCACAGCCAACACAACCAGGGCCUACAGGGCAAAGCUUUUUCUAUUUUCUUUUCACAAACCAGACCCUGCAGUUGGCUGCUGCAGCACACCAACCACCACUAUAGGAAACGGGAGAGAAGAUCUUUGCUUGGUGAGGUAUGAAGAGUUGUGAUUUCUUGUGCCAUUAGGCAGGGAAGUAUGAAGGAAACUCUGCGCUCUUGGUUUCUGCUUUGGAUCAGUCAGAAACCCUUGUUGUUGGUACCUUGGUGCUCCAACAUCUGCCCUUUCAAAUGCUUGAAUAUACUUGGGAAAUAAAAUAUUAUUUUAUGCAGUGAAAACUUACCUCUCAGUAACAUCAUUUUAAUUUCAGUGGCCUUUAGUGAUUAAAAGAUACCCUUUAUGAUUUAUCACUAUCUCCUACUUUAUCUAUGGCUUUAGAUAUUUUUCUCUAUUUUCUAAAACACCUUUUCAUAAAUCUAGAACAGUAAUUAGCAAUGGGAGAUCAAGAGUCUUUGUCUUUUCACAUCUAAUGGCAGGAAAAGAGUAGAGUCCAUUUAUCCAAAUGAUUCAAUUGAGAAUCAAAAUUAUUUCCCCCCCCCUUUUUGAGUAAAAAGGAAAAGAAGGUUUAUUGCUAUGCUAGAAAAGGAAAAACACAGGGGACUCCUGUCCCAAAGGCUGUAAUCCUGCCCAUCAGCAGGAACAGGGAGCUUUUAAAGAGAUGAUUCAGAGAAAAUGAGUUUAGGGAGGAGAGAUCAGCAAGGAGAAGAUCAGGGAAAAGAAGGUAAGGGAAAAGAUUAAGGAGAAAAUGAGGGAGAAGAAGGUUGGGAAAAAGAAAAAAAAAACAUGUAAAUUUCAAAGCCCCAAGGGAUAUAGUAAAAGCAUCAAAUGAACCCCUGUUACAUUUUCCCACUGUCAAUUUUCAUUUCUAUGGAAAGUGGGCAAUGACAUCUCCAAGCUACUUUCUGCUGAAAGGUGGAAGUAACCCAAAGUCUUUGUUCUCUAUUUGGUGAGACAUGGACAGUUAAGGGCAUUCAGUAUCAGAACAGUCCAGAGCUCUACUGUGGCAAAUGGCAGGGGACUGGACAGGGCAUACAUAGAGCAGGGAUGCAGCCACCUUGUAUACUUGUAUGGAAGUAAGUUCCUUCAUUCUUGAGAGGGGCUCUUUGUCAUGUUCCACCCUCUGCCUUUCAUAAUAGCCCUCUAGUUUUCUCACUCUAAGUAAAACAAGAUAAAUGGGAAAUCUCAAUUUCCCAUAACAAAUUAUGUACUUUCAAUGAUAGGUGUGGCAUGAACUCACUUAAGGGAUUCUGAAAGAUAGGGAUAGAACUGAAGCCAGGGCCCAAGGCAGAAGCUAGUGCUGGUAACAGAUAAGUUCAGAAUGGGAAGGCAAAAGUCAAGGCUUCACCUAAAGGCAAAUAGACAAAAAAAAAAAAAAGAGGUUUUAUGUUUUCCCAUUCACUGAGUGUUUUGCUCUCUUACUUAACAACUAACUGAAUAAAUUCAUGAAAUGACUACUUUUUUUUUCUUUAUUUGAAGUGAGGAUAAAAUGUCAUUAAGAAAUAUUCCCUCACAAUCCAUAAAGCCAAUUAAGACAAAUAUCAUUAUGUUAUUAUAGACCAAAUAAGGUUGAUUUACUUUGCAAAACUUCUCAAAUGUCUAGAAAAGGAAAGGCACUGAAAGGAAAUUGUCCCUGUGUCAAGGCAUAUUCCAGGCUCAAGAUCUGGGCACCACUCCACCCUGUGCCUUUCCAACCCAACCAAGGAAGGUGUGAAUCUGCAGGGCUCCUGUGUGGGGAUGGCAGCACAGGACUGUGGAUCAGAAACAGAAAUGAGUUUCAGAGACCAAGAAAGCAGGAGCAGGCUGUGGG